CUCGUCUCAUGGCGAAGUUGUUGAUGAUAUGCCAUGUGCUUAGUUGUCUGAGUAACAAUGGAUUGAUGACCCUGACCAUGAUUUACCCCAUUCCACAGGAGCUGCUUUUAGUGGGGAAAGAAUUGCCUAUUUUUAUGCCAUGUAAGUGCCAGUGUGUAGGGUAAUGGUAGCCAUUUACUGUGUUGAUGAUAUUGGUCUUACUUAACCAAGCUUCAACCCAUGCUUGAGUGAUAGCUGUAAAGGUAGAUCAAUGGUGUGUAUAGUAAGGAAACUCUUCGGAGGGUAUGAGGGAGUUGAGACUUGGGGUAGCGAAGGUGUGUGGUGCCAAUAAGUCUAUGGUUAGUCUUUGUUUAAGGGAAG